rnacentral:rRNA from 1 species
UGGGGAAUAUUGGACAAUGGGGGGAACCCUGAUCCAGCGACGCCGCGUGAGUGAAGAAGUAUCUCGGUAUGUAAAGCUCUAUCAGCGGGGAAGAAGGAAGACGGUACCCGACUAAGAAGCCCCGGCUAACUACGUGCCAGCAGCCGCGGUAAUACGUAGGGGGCGAGCGUUAUCCGGAUUUACUGGGUGUAAAGGGAGCGUAGACGGCGUCGCAAGUCUGAAGUGAAAUCCGCGGGCUUAACCCGCGAACUGCAUUUGAAACUAUUGGUCUUGAGUACCGGAGAGGUCAUCGGAAUUCCUUGUGUAGCGGUGAAAUGCGUAGAUAUAAGGAGGAACACCAGUGGCGAAGGCGACUUUCUGGACUGUAACUGACGUUGAGGCACGAAAGUGUGGGGAGCAAACAGG